GACGGGGGAUGCAAGCGUUAUCCGGAAUCACUGGGCGUAAAGCGUCUGUAGGUGGUGAUGCAAGUCACUGGUGCAAAACUCUGGCUCAACCGGAGGAAAGCCAGUGAAACUGCAUGACUAGAGUGUGGGAGAGGUAGAAGGAAUUCCCUGAGUAGCGGUGAAAUGCGUAGAUACAGGGAAGAACACCGGAGGCGAAAGCGUUCUACUGGAACACAACUGACGCUGAGGUACGAAAGCUAGGGGAGCGAAUGGG
rnacentral:rRNA from 1 species